CCACACACACACACACACUUAAAGUUCCCCUUUUAAACCUCUGAUAAAGAUGCAGACAAAGAUUUCCCCCACCAGCUCCGAAUAAGUCUUCACACUGAUGUCACACAUAGAUUAAAAAAAUACCCUUAUAUGGCCAUCGACGGCCGGUCACAGAGUAGACAUAACAUGACCUCUGUUUGAAGGCUGGGGUGUCAAAGCCUCAGUAAUGAUCUAUGUGCAAAUUCACUAAGUCCAAUCUUUUAUCUGAUAAAAUAUAUGAUCACUUCAGUUAUCUUGAAUCAUUUAAAACAUAUUUCCAUUAGAAGCUAUAGUGGGGGGAGUCAUGUGGUGGCCAGUGACGUGUUGAUUUGACAGUUUCCCCUUCACAGUGGAUGACUGUUUAAGAAAUAGUCAUUACCCUAAGUCACACAGACGCAGGACGGUGCAGGGAGAAGACACAGGACAUUGCAGGGAGAAGACGCAGGACGGUGCAGGGAGAAGACACAGGACAUUGCAGGGAGAAGACGCAGGGAACAGUGCAGGGAGAAGACGCAGGAAGGUGCAGGGAGAAGAUGCAGGAAGGUGCAGGGAGAAGAUGCAGGAAGGUGCAGGGAGAAGACGCAGGAAGGUGCAGGGAGAAGACGCAGGAAGGUGCAGGGAGAAGACGCAGGAAGGUGCAGGGAGAAGACGCGGGAAGGUGCAGGGAGAAGACGCAGGUAUAGACAUACAUUAGAUUUGAGGUCAGAAGUAGAAGUUACUGUAUUUGACCAAAAGUGAGUUAAGAUGUCAGAGGGAGUUUAUGGAAACUCAGAUGGAGUUGAAGACGAUGAGCCUGAUGCAAUGAAGAACACAGACAUUGAUGGCCAAUUAUAUGCCAACGUAAAAGCCUUCAAACCUAGACCAAGAGAUGGAGUUGUUGCUUCAGUACAUGUUCAGUGGUGGAGGAGACCCUCUGGAGUUGCUGCAGUGUGUCUGGGGCUGCUGUGUGUUCUCCUCCUGGCUGGGAUCAUAGGCCUGUCUGUCUACUGUAAGUUUAGUAUGUUUUUAUUGAGUAUUAAGUAGCCUACUUAAUCAUACUUAUCCAGAAAUGGUUUGGUAGUUACAUGUUUGAAUAACUCUUGCGUCAUUGGUCAUCACAACUCAGAGAGAAACCAGCUACAGACCAGUUACAAUGCCAUGAAUGAAGAGAGAAACCAGCUACAGACCAGUUACAACACCCUGACUAAAGAGAGAGACCAGCUUACCAAUUGUAGUGAGUUAACAUUUUGCACUCAUGCUCUCACACACACGCAAGCACACAUGCAUACACGUACACACACGCAUGCAAAUGCACCUAUUAUUGUAUUUGUUUGUAGUAUCUUAUUAAUAAAAGUCCUACUUAUUUCCUGAUUGUACCUUCCUG
rnacentral:lncRNA from 1 species